GAUGAACGCUGGCGGCGUGCCUAAUACAUGCAAGUCGAGCGAACAGACGAGGAGCUUGCUCCUCUGACGUUAGCGGCGGACGGGUGAGUAACACGUGGAUAACCUACCUAUAAGACUGGGAUAACUUCGGGAAACCGGAGCUAAUACCGGAUAAUAUAUUGAACCGCAUGGUUCAAUAGUGAAAGACGGUUUUGCUGUCACUUAUAGAUGGAUCCGCGCCGCAUUAGCUAGUUGGUAAGGUAACGGCUUACCAAGGCGACGAUGCGUAGCCGACCUGAGAGGGUGAUCGGCCACACUGUAACUGAGACACGGUCCAGACUCCUACGGGAGGCAGCAGUAGGGAAUCUUCCGCAAUGGGCGAAAGCCUGACGGAGCAACGCCGCGUGAGUGAUGAAGGUCUUCGGAUCGUAAAACUCUGUUAUUAGGGAAGAACAAAUGUGUAAGUAACGAUGCACGUCUUGACGGUACCUAAUCAGAAAGCCACGGCUAACUACGUG
rnacentral:rRNA from 1 species